rnacentral:lncRNA from 1 species
GCCCAUGUGUCAAACACAAGGCCCGCGGGCCAAAUGUGGCCCGCCACGUCCUUUUAUGUGGCCCGCGAGAGCUUGUAAGAUCUUAGUGUCUAUAAUAAAUAGGUCAGAAGCGUUCUUUGACCAAAAACUACAUUUCCCACAAUGCUUGUCNNNNNNNNNNNNNNNNNNNNNNNNNNNNNNNNAACUCGAGGCCUCAUGGACGCCGCAGGCCUCGGGGUAAGCGUUCUAAGGGGUCCCGCCAGCUGGAAGAAGACCCCUUUUCUGGGGAGGAUUUUCUUGGGGGGGCGAUGAGGGUUGGUGCUUUGAGCCUCGGUGGGACUUUCUCGGGUGCGCUCCCAGCAGCUCCGAGGACGAGGAGGAGCUCUACCCCGCACCGGCCCGUGCUCCGUUACCGUUCCCCCCAGGGGCGGUGCUCUACCCGGCUCUCGGCCGCACAGCUCCUGAGGCCGUCCCGACUCGUGUCCAUCAGCCUCCCAAGGCGCGCUCCGUACCGGCGCCUCCAAAGCUAGCUCCUCCGGCUGCCAAGACUCUGUCCUCACUGGCGCUUCCAGAGCUAGCUUCUCCAGUGGCUAAGGCGCUAGCAUCCCCGGCGCCUCUCAAGCUAGCGUCUUCAGCGGAGAACAGAUCAGUUAGCGUUUUCCCCUUUUUCUUCACCGGAGACCGAACAUAAACCUUGGAAACCGACGCUGACCGCUUCUUAGGUGAGUACAUAUUCCCUAGAUUCCAAAAAAUGUGCGGAUUGUAAGGAUCUCUUCAAGUUGAUAAAAGAAAGAAAAGUUGGGAGAUGGAGCUGCUCCCUUAUGCGGCCAUGGUUUCCCGCUCGCCGGAAGUCCCCUGUUAAAAUGUUUUUUAAAAUUGUCUGGGUUGUAGAUAAGGCCUAAAUAGCUAAAUAUUAAAAUUUAAGAAAAUGUGUUUAAAAUGUGUUUGAAUUGUCUGAAUUGAAAAAUAAGGCCAAAAUAGCAAAAGAAUUACAUUAAAAAAAUGUUUUAAAAAUGUCUGUACUGGAGAUAAGG